rnacentral:rRNA from 1 species
GUGCACCAGGCGCGAAACCUCCGCAAUGCACGCAAGUGCGACGGGGGAACCCCAAGUGCCACUCUUAACGGGGUGGCUUUUCAGAAGUGUAAAAAGCUUCUGGAAUAAGGGCUGGGCAAGACCGGUGCCAGCCGCCGCGGUAACACCGGCAGCUCAAGUGGUAGCCGCUUUUAUUGGGCCUAAAGCGUCCGUAGCCGGUCUGAUAAGUCUCUGGUGAAAUCCCACAGCUUAACUGUGGGAAUUGCUGGAGGUACUAUCAUGACUCGAGGUCGGGAGAGGCUGGAGGUACUCCCAGGGUAGGGGUGAAAUCCUGUAAUCCUGGGAGGACCACCUGUGGCGAAGGCGUCCAGCUGGAACGAACCUGACGGUGAGGGACGAAAGCCAGGGGCGCGAACCGGAUUAGAUACCCGUGUAGUCC